UUGAAGAAAAAUCUUGGGCCGUGGGACCAUAGGGCCGUGGGACCAUAGGGUUGUGGGAACAUAGGGCUGUGGGACCAUUGGGCUGUGGGACCAUUGGGCUGCGGGACCAUUGGGCCGUGGGACCAUAGGGCCGUGGGACCAUAGGGUUGUGGGAACAUAGGGCUGUGGGACCAUUGGGCUGUGGGACCAUAGGACCGUGGGACCAUAGGGCCGUGGGAACAUAGGG